GCCGGAGUGGCGGAAUUGGCAGACGCGCACGGUUCAGAACCGUGUUCUCGCAAGAGAUUGGAGGUUCAACUCCUCUCUCCGGCA
rnacentral:tRNA from 1 species